UUGUCCAAGCUGCUGCCAUUCGUGGGUGUUGUUUCUGAUUUUUCUUCUCUGAUGUGUUGUAAAUCAUUAAAGCAGAAAGGCGGAAAGAGACCAUGGCUUCUCCUUCUCCUUCUCACCUCACAGUUAUCCCACAACGCCUCUCAAAACCCUCCCUUUCCCACUUAAACUCGAAGCCAGUCGAGCUCCGUGUGAGGUCGAGUUUGGAAAAUGAGAGCAGUGGCACUGAGGAUUCUGGUCACUCAUCAUCAAAACCUCUGAAGGGAUCUCAGCCAGCAAUCAAUC